GCUUGACGUUUCUCAUGAAAGCUAUGUAGACUAUUGACGUUGCUCGCUACUAUCUUCUCUCCAAUCUUCUGGGUGCCCCCUUUUUGUUCCACUUUGUUAUCGACUGGCAGGCGUUGGCUGGAGCAAGUGCGCUAUUUGGUAAUUUCGAAUGCACCUCCUAUCAGAAGCACUUGGAGUUCUACCUUUUUGAGCUCGUCCACUCAGAUGCAAUGAUUGUCCAACGACAAGAAAACCUACGCAAUCCACGGUUGCCCGGAUGUGAAAUGCACUUUCGCAGCCAAAUAUGACAAAAACGAUCUGAUCAUCAUCGAGACAAAAUCAAGGGCUGCAGCUACUUCGGCCGAGCCACCAUGAUAGGAUGCACCAGCUCCAGCCUUGGUCUUGGAGAUUGCAGUUAACAUGGAGUUCGGAACUCAUGCUCCCACCAAUUUAUUAGCAGAGGCCACUGCAGUAACACAAUGUUUUUCCUUUUUGCUGAAAUUUCCAAAGCAUGGAAGUGACAAAAUCCAAGAA